AUCCUGGCUCAGGAUGAACGCUGGCGGCGUGCCUAAUACAUGCAAGUCGAGCGAACAGAUAAGGAGCUUGCUCCUUUGACGUUAGCGGCGGACGGGUGAGUAACACGUGGGUAACCUACCUAUAAGACUGGAAUAACUCCGGGAAACCGGGGCUAAUGCCGGAUAACAUGUUGAACCGCAUGGUUCUACAGUGAAAGACGGUCUUGCUGUCACUUAUAGAUGGACCCGCGCCGUAUUAGCUAGUUGGUGGGGUAACGGCCUACCAAGGCGACGAUACGUAGCCGACCUGAGAGGGUGAUCGGCCACACUGGAACUGAGACACGGUCCAGACUCCUACGGGAGGCAGCAGUAGGGAAUCUUCCGCAAUGGGCGAAAGCCUGACGGAGCAACGCCGCGUGAGUGAUGAAGGUCUUCGGAUCGUAAAGCUCUGUUGUUAGGGAAGAACAAAUGUGUAAGUAACUGUGCACAUCUUGACGGUACCUAACCAGAAAGCCACGGCUAACUACGUGCCAGCAGCCGCGGUAAUACGUAGGUGGCAAGCGUUAUCCGGAAUUAUUGGGCGUAAAGCGCGCGUAGGCGGUUU
rnacentral:rRNA from 1 species